rnacentral:rRNA from 1 species
ACCUGCCUGUCAAGGAAGGGGAUACGCCCGUAGGGAAACUGGUAUUAACUACCUAUGGUAUUGAUUAUUAUGAAUGAUAUCAAUUAAAGUUGAGGCGCUGACAGAUGGAUGUGCGUCUGAUUAGCUAGUUGGUAGGGUAACGGCCUACCAAGGCGACGAUCAGUAGGGGCGUGAGAGCGUGGUCCCCCACACGGGUACUGAGACACGGACCCGACUCCUACGGGAGGCAGCAGUAAGGAAUAUUGGUCAAUGCCCGCAAGGGUGAACCAGCCAUUCCGCGUGGAGGAUGAAGGCCCUAUGGGUUGUAAACUUCUUUUAGAUGGGAAGAAAAUGCUAGAUGUAUCUGGUACUGACGGUACCAUCAGAAUAAGCACCGGCUAACUCCGUG